rnacentral:rRNA from 1 species
CCUACGGGUGGCAGCAGUAGGGAAUUUUCGGCAAUGGGGGGAACCCUGAACGAGCAAUGCCGCGUGAGUGAAGAAGGCCUUCGGGUCGUAAAGCUCUUUUGUAAGAGAAAAACGUUAAUGAUAGGAAAUGAUCAUUAAUUGAUGGUAUCUGACUAGGAAGCCACGGCUAACUACGUGCCAGCAGCCGCGGUAAUACGUAGGUGGCAAGCGUUAUCCGGAAUGAGUGGGCGUAAAGGGAGAGCAGGCGGUUGUAUAAGUCUGAAGUAAAAGCCAUGGGCUCAACCGAUGUAAGCUUGGGAAACUGUAGAACUAGAGUGCAGGAGAGGACAGUGGAAUUCCAUGUGUAGCGGGAAAAUGCGGAGAUAUAUGGAGGAACACCAGUAGCGAAGGCGGCUGUCUGGCCGGUAACUGACGCUGAGGCACGAAAGCGUGGGGAGCAAAUAGGAUUAGAUACCCGAGUAGUC